ACAUCUUUAGCUAUAAUGGAAAAGCAUUUACAGUCGAAGUAAAUUUAUUUAGUGGUUCAACUCCAAUAAGAUGUU
rnacentral:tRNA from 1 species